rnacentral:rRNA from 1 species
AACGAACGCUGGCGGCAUGCCUAACACAUGCAAGUCGAACGAGACCUUCGGGUCUAGUGGCGCACGGGUGCGUAACGCGUGGGAACCUGCCCUUAGGUUCGGAAUAACUCCCCGAAAGGGGUGCUAAUACCGGAUAAUGUCUUCGGACCAAAGAUUUAUCGCCUUUGGAUGGGCCCGCGUUGGAUUAGCUAGUUGGUAGGGUAAAAGCCUACCAAGGCGACGAUCCAUAGCUGGUCUGAGAGGAUGAUCAGCCACACUGGGACUGAGACACGGCCCAGACUCCUACGGGAGGCAGCAGUGGAGAAUAUUGGACAAUGGGCGAAAGCCUGAUCCAGCAAUGCCGCGUGAGUGAUGAGGGCCUUAGGGUUGUAAAGCUCUUUUACCCGGGAUGAUAAUGACAGUACCGGGAGAAUAAGCACCGGCUAACUCCGUG